ensembl:lncRNA
UCUGAUUUAGCUGAACUCCAAAGGGAAUUGGAGUUUCCUUCAUUAAACAGUCCAAAAUCACAUGACACAAUUUCACAAACAGUAUCAUCCUCACUCAUUCAUCUUAUACAACAAUUAGAUGUAAGCCUUAUAUCUGAGGCUAUUGUAUAAACAGCGUUAUGGUAAUGUGGCCGUAUUGCCUCUCAUGAGUUUCACAAAAUUGUACCAAACGGACCAGUUCGUUGCUGGAUUCUUCACCGAUCUUUUAUACGUUCUCCAGAACAUAAAUACUGUUUGGACCUCCAGUUCUGUGAGGUGGAAGAAAUUCCUUUGUUCUCUCUAUGAAAACUCACUCUCUCUCUAUACUGUGGCCAUGAGGAGAUAAUCUUCUCCAGGAAUUUACGACCUGAGGUUGCAGCAGCCUGAGUGUAGGAGACAGAGAGAGGGGGAUGGUGCUCGCUGUAACCAAAGAGGGCAACGUCAUGACAGAGUUGAAACCGGGAUUCAUACUUGAAGAGCAUACUUCUCCAGCGUGCCAGUGGCCAUCGAAGUUUCAUCAGCUGUCCGAGUGGCUGGUCUCAGACGAUCCUGGAGGUGAUGAAGUCCGUUGUGGAGGUCCUGGGCUGGUGUGGUUACAUGUGGUCUGCGGUUUUGAGGCCGGUUGGACGUACUGCCAAAUUCCUUAAAACGUUGGAGGGGCCCUAUGGUAAAGAAAUUAACAUUCAAUUCACUGGCAACAGCUCUGGUGGACAUUCCUGCAGUCAGCAUGCCAAUUGCACGCUCCCUCAAAACUUGAGACAUCUGUAGCAUUGUGUUGUGUGACAAAACUGCACAUUUUAGAGUGGCCCAGCAUAAGGUGCACCUGUGUAAUGAUCAUGCUGUUUAAUCACCUUCUUGAUAUGCCACACCUGUCAGGUGGAUGAAUUAUACUGGCAAAGGAGAAAUUCUCACUAAGAGGGAUGUAAACACAUUUGUGCACAACAUUCAAGAUAAAUAAGAUUUUUGUGCGUAUGGAACAUUUCUGCGAUCUUUUAUUUCAGCUUAUGAAACAUGGGACCAACACUUUACGUGUUGCGUUUAUAUUUUUGUUCAGUGUAUUAUGUAGGCCUACCUGUUUGAGCUCCUGUUAGACAGAUUCAAUUUAAUUUCUCAAGAGGAGGCUGUACAGUCUUUCCCUCUACCUGUGUCUGUUCAGAUAGGACAUGUUUUAAGCAUGAUACAGAGGCUAUUUCUUUUGGGCAAUUCUUGCGUAUAUUUGCUAAAGCUACUUGUAUUUUUCAUACGAUAUUGUGCUUUCACCACUGGAUAACCAAGAUCUAUAAAUAAAUGUACACUCUGAGCACGUCAUCUUGCCUUGCCUUCUGCUGAUUUCAUGGCCUUAUGACUGAUACAAGGUCCCUAUUUUACAUUUACACAAAAUAAUGAAAAGGGCUGUCUGGUAGACUCAAUAAAUCGCCAAAAUAAUGAAAAGGGCUGUCUGGUAGACUCAAUAAAUCGCCAAAAUAAUGAAAAGGGCUGUCUAGUAGACUCAAUAAAU